GCAAGCAUGGUGUAGUGGUCUGAGUGUUGGACUAUGACUCUGGAGAUCAGGGUUCAAUUUCCUGCUUGGC